rnacentral:rRNA from 1 species
AUUGAACGCUGGCGGCAGGCCUAACACAUGCAAGUCGAACGAGUGGCGGAAGGGUGAGUAAUGUCUGGGAAACUGCCUGAUGGAGGGGGAUAACUACUGGAAACGGUAGCUAAUACCGCAUACCAUCGGAUGUGCCCAGCGGGGAUUAGCGUGUUGGUGGGGUAACGGCUCACCAAGGCGACGAUCCCUAGCUGGUCUGAGAGGAGGACCAGCCACACGGGAACUGAGACACGGUCCAGACCCCUACGUGGGCCAGCAGUUGGGAAGAUUGCGCAAGGGGCGCAAGCCUGAUGCAGCCAUGCCGCGUGUAUGAAGAAGGCCUUCGGGUUUUAAAGUACUUUCAGCGGGGAGGCGUUACCCGCAGAAGAAGCACCGGCUAACUCCGUGCCAGCAGCCGCGGUAAUAC